CACUGGUUGGGAAACACUGUUGUAAUGGACAUGUAGCAGAGCUGUGUGUGCAAUGUGCAUAUAGUAAACUAUUUGUGUAAUGGGCAUGUAGUAUAGCUGCGUAUGUAAUAUGUAUAUAGUAGUGUCAGGUGGGCGUAGUGUGUGGCAGC